rnacentral:rRNA from 1 species
AAAGAAACUAACAAGGAUUUUCUUAGUAGCGGCGAGCGAAAAGAAAUCAGUUCAGCACUAAGUCACUUUGUCUAUAUGGCAAAUGUGAGAUGCAGUGUAUGGAGCGUCAAUAUUCUAGUAUGAGAAAUUAACGAUUUAAGUCCUUCUUAAAUGAGGCCAUUUACCCAUAGAGGGUGCCAGGCCCGUAUAACGUUAAUGAUUACUAGAUGAUGUUUCCAAAGAGUCGUGUUGCUUGAUAGUGCAGCACUAAGUGGGUGGUAAACUCCAUCUAAAACUAAAUAUAACCAUGAGACCGAUAGUAAACAAGUACCGUGAGGGAAAGUUGAAAAGAACUCUGAAUAGAGAGUUAAACAGUACGUGAAACUGCUUAGAGGUUAAGCCCGAUGAACCUGAAUAUCCAUUAUGGAAAAUUCAUCAUUAAAAUUGUAAUAUUUUAACAAUAUUAUGAUAAUAGUGUGCAUUUUUUCCAUAUAAGGACAUUGUAAUCUAUUAGCAUAUAAAAUUUAUCAUAAAAUAUGGCUUAUAGUUUAUUCCAAUUAAAAUGCUUGCGUUUUAACACAGAAUAAAUGUCAUUAAUUUGAUAAAGUGCUGAUAGAUUUAUAUGAAUACAGUGCGUUAAUUUUUCGGAAUUAUAUAAUGGCAUAAUUAUCAUUGAUUUUUGUGUUUAUUAUAAGCACUUGUACGAUUAACAAUGCGAAAGAUUCAGGAUACCUUCGGGACCCGUCUUGAAACACGGACCAAGGAGUCUAACAUAUGUGCAAGUUAUUGGGAUAUAAACCUAAUAGCGUAAUUAACUUGACUAAUAAUGGGAUUAGUUUUUUAACUAUUUAUAGCUAAUUAACACAAUCCCGGGGCG